rnacentral:lncRNA from 1 species
UAACUGCUAAGACACGGUAUGGGUAGUCCAAGCUUGGUGGUGUAGAUGGUAUAAACACAUUAAACCGUGGCCUGAAGGCACCGUUCAUUUCAUAUGCAUGAAUCUCACUCAGAGUUGACUAUUAAUCUCGCACAAAAAGAUGGUCUGCCACUCUCCGCAAAGUCUACUUCCUCCAACUUGUUGACCGGAACAGCUACAUGUGCCCCCGUACUUCUCUUGUUUUUUCCAAUCUUCCAAAAGCAUCAAAAACCUAUAUAUGCUUUUGUCACCUAAAGCUUGUUUCCAUGUCUUCUUUUUGAUUUAUUCAUGUACUUUGUUGAUUUUAGUGUUUAUUUCUGUUAAACACAAUUUGUUUUAUUCAACUUUUUUUUUCCAUCAGAAAAUGUAAUCUCAGUUGACUAAUGUCAAUGAGUUAAUCUACUCCAUAAGUAAACAUGUUUUAUUCAAAGUUAAGCGGUUUUACACGGAUCAUCAAGAUUCAAGAAACAAGAAACCAAAAAAAGAAACAAGAAGCGACCACUGAUUCAACAUACGGAAGAAGAGAUCCGGAUCCGGAUCUAAGCUUUGGAUCCGGACUUGUGGAGGUAGAGUUUUCCGAAGACGUGAANNNN